GCCCGUAAUAAAUAGUACUUUGUCUCCCUUGGUAAGGGAGAGGUCGAGUGUUCGAAUCACUCUGUGGGCACCA
rnacentral:tRNA from 1 species